AAACAUGUCUCUUUGAAAUUAAAAUAUAAAGAGUCGAGCCUGCCCAGUGAAUAUUUUAACGGCCGCGGUACUUUGACCGUGCAAAGGUAGCAUAAUCAUUUGCCUUAUAAUUGAAGGCUUGUAUGAAGGGUUUGACAAAAGCAAGACUGUCUCUUUAAAAUUCUUUAGAAUUUAGUUUUUAGGUGAAGAAACCUAAAUAUUAUUGAUAGACAAGAAGACCCUAUCGAGCUUAAAAUAAAUUUAUUAAUUUUUAUUUUGUUUAAUAAAGUAUUUUAGUUGGGGCGACUAAGGAACAUAUAGAGCUUCCUUAAUAAUGUAAAAUUUAUUAAUAUUGAUCCAAAAAAUUUGAUUAAAAGAAUUAGUUACCGUAGGGAUAACAGCAUAAUUUUUUUUGAGAGUUCUUAUCGAAAAGAAAGUUUGUGACCUCGAUGUUGGAUUAAGAUUUCCUAAAGAUGCAGCAGUCUUUUAGGUUGGUCUGUUCGACCAUUAAAAUCUUACAUGAUCUGA
rnacentral:rRNA from 1 species